rnacentral:misc_RNA from 1 species
ACCCACUUGACGCCAUCCUCGAUAAAAUAAAAAAAAACCACCACUUCUAAGGUCUCGCCAUGGCUACCCCCUUAACCAAAUCUGUUCCUAAAAACCCUACCCAUGCAAGCUACCAAAUCUAUAAGAUAAACCAACAAAACCCAAAACUAUAAACAACUCAAACAAGGGAAGAGAGGGAGACCCUAUACGCAGUCGGAGAAACCACCAUCCUUUGCCCCAAGGGUAGGGGAUGAACACCGAAAAUAAAAUCUCAGCUAAAUUGAGG